GGGGUUGUAGCUCAGUGGUAGAGCAUUUGCCUAGCAUGCAUGAGGCACUGGGUUCGAUUCUCAGUACCCCA
rnacentral:tRNA from 1 species